GGAGUUGUGGCUCAAUGGUAGAGCACUUACCUAGCAUGUGUGAGGCCCUGGGUUCAAUCCUCAGCACCA
rnacentral:tRNA from 1 species